rnacentral:rRNA from 1 species
GCAAGUCGAACGAGAAAGUACCUUCGGGUGCGAGUAGAGUGGCGCACGGGUGAGUAACACGUAGGUAAUCUACCUUUUGGUGGGGGAUAACCAGGAGAAAUCCUGGCUAAUACCGCAUAAGUAAGUAAUUAGAAAGGAUGCUCCGGCAUUCGCCGAAAGAUGAGCCUGCGGGACAUUAGCUUGAUGGUGAGGUAACGGCUUACCAUGGCUUCGAUGUCUAGCUGGUCUGAGAGGAUGAUC